UUCUUGGAAAUCUAUUGUUAUUCUAUUGUGUCUCGCUCGCCGGUGACCUUAUGGGGCUUCAUGAUGGAUUAAUUAAAGUAAUGUUAUUU